CAUAGAUUAAAUAAAAAAACACAUAAUAUUUAAAGAUAAAUAUGAAACUAAAAACGUUUUCACUCACAUGCUCGCUGUGUAGAGAAUAUCCUCUGUCUUAUCAGACGACAUGAUUUUGCACGGCAGUAGCAGCUGGGCAUGCUUCAUCUUCUUCUGUUUUAUGUCAGAUGGCAGCGUUAAGGUGAAAUACCGCCACCUAUUGUACUUUGGGAUGUCAACCAGGUACUGGCACUGGAUUAUUUACGUGUUAAAUUAUCAUGUGUAUUAUUCAUUUUAAAUAUUACGGUUAUCUCGAUAUAUUGUCAGACACAUAAUUAACACAAUAUCGAUUUUUCAUGUUUUAAAUAUCACGGUUAUUAUCAAUACCGGUAUAUUGCGACACCCCUAGAUGAAAUAUGGCGUAUUGUAUCGCUAGUGCCAUCAUUCCCAGGGUGGUGAGGCCUUUCUUCAGCUUUUGCUCCCAGCAUCUUUAAAGACUGUAGUGAUGCAGCAGCUUCAUGAUGAGCAUGGUCAUCAGGGAGUGGAACGCACAACAGAGCUGGUCCGACAAAGAUGUUUUUGGCCAGGUAUGUCUGAUGAUGUUAAGCGAUGGUGCCAACAAUGUGAACGCUGUACUGUUGCUAAGGAUGUCUUUCCUCAAGUCCAGACAUAUAUGGGCAAUUUGUUAGCUUCAAGACCUAACCAAAUUCUGGCUAUUGAUUUUACAUUGAUUGAGCCAUCACAGAAUGGAGAAUGUUCUUGUCCUGACUGAUGUGUUUUCCAAAUACACCCAGGCGGUGCCAACUCGUGACCAGAGAGCAUUUACAGUGGCGAAGGUGUUGGUUAAUGAGUGGUUCUACAAGUUUGGCGUUCCAAGUCGCAUCCACUCAGACCAGGGAAGGAACUUCGAAAGUAUCCUUAUUUGUCAAUUGUGUGAGUUGUAUGGCAUUGAACGGAGCCGAACCACACCAGCCCAUCCUACUGGAAAUGGUCAAUGCGAGAAAUUUAAUCGCACCCUGCACAAUUUACUGCACACUCUACCCUCUUGUAAGAAGAACUGGGCUCAAGUGGUUUUCUCCUAUAAUACUACCCCACACCAGUCUACAUACCAAUCUCCAUAUUUCUUAAUGUUCGUGCAAGACCCACAAUUUCCUGUUGACGUUCUCUUGGGUAGGAUUGAGGCUCCCACUCAAGGUAGUGUUCAUGACUGGAUUUAUGACCAUCAGGCUAGACUUCAAGUGGCCUUUGAUGGGGCUAGAAGUCACAUGAAGGCUGCAGCAGACUGUAGAAAAGAGCGAGAUGACCGGAGAGUACAGGAUGAACCUCUAUGUCAAGGUGAGUUGGUGUAUUUGCAGGACCUUUGUGUGCGAGGCUGGGCAAAGAUUGCUGGAGUUCUGUGGUUUACAAAUUGCUGCGAGCCCCUACACCUGGUGGGUCUGCGUACACCAUUGCCCCUGUUGAUGAUUUGGAAAAGGUUAGACAUGUGCAUCAUACCCUGUUCAGCUCAACCAUCUGGGCAGAAUUGAGCACAGCCUUCUAACUCAGUUUCAGAGUCUGAUCAAGUAUCGAUGGAAUCUGGGGACCUAUCGGAUGACGAUAUGUGUUUGCUGGUGUCUUCAGAGCAAGAAAUUUCCCUUCCAUUUAUAGUGCCAAGUGUUCGUCCAUCUUUGCCGCCUCCUACUCCUGCUCCAUCUUUGCCCCGAGGGUAUGUCCAUGUCAUCUAGUAGUGUCCCUGAUCUUGAGCCUACUCUAGUCACUAGGCGAGGAAUCAUGGACUCUUCAGUGGCAUCAGAGGGCAUAGUUCCUACUGUAAGAGCACAUUUACGUCAGACUACACGAACAACUGCAGGCUACCAUUCCAAUGUCCAUCACUUGCCAGAGACAAUGGGGGAUAGAGGGGGUAUUGUGAACUCUCAGAUAACUGUAACAAACAAUGUUUCCACUCUCUUUAGGCCUUGGAGUUAAUAUCGUCGGGUCGACGAAUUUUAAACCAGGGAGUAGAAUGUGACAGGUUAAGUUUCUUUAUUUGUUUAAUGGUGUAUCUCAACUCAGGAGACACGCAGACACGUUUUCAUAGUUGCAGAUCAUAGUCUAAAAAUGUGUGUGUUAUCAGGGAUGUGUGUGCGUGGAGUGACAAUCGAGCGCAGGUAGCAUAAAGUUAUAGUAGUCUGAGUUUCGCUUGGGAGUUGAGACAUUUUUCUCGUGGGUUCUUUUUUUGGGAAAGGGGAAAUCAUUUAAAAACGGUUUUACUAUUUGUUUUUUUGUUUUCAGGUGUGGCCUAAGAGCUUUGAUGCCGGUUUGAUACGCCUGUUUGAUAUACCUGUUCUUAUAUACCUCUUCUACACCUUUUUGAUAUACGCGUUUCAUUGAUUGAGCUCCAUAUUGCCAUUUCACUAAUACAACUGGCUGUGGACGUCGCGGUUCUGCACCGCUGAUUGGAACAGUGUUUUAAAGAUUAUUCUGCCCAACUUAUUUGUACAUUUAAUUUAUUCAGUUAUAGUCAUAGUGCCUGCGGACAACUGGAAAUAACUUGUUCCCUUUCGAAAGGGAACUCAACUCUGCGUUGGAAUACACAAUGGGGAACGUCACGUGACCCAGGUGUCUGAAAACCAACUAUCCAACAACUCCAAUCCCUAUUGGCCGGCGACAGCCUAUGACGUAAUUGUUAUGAUACAGACGGGUCGGACACAGAGAAUCACAGAUAUCAGAGUCCUUAGAGAUCGCUGGAGGUAAGUGAGCACUCACACACACAGAAACAAGAGGAGCAGGGAUCACACUGGAGACAGGUAAGUAGAGAGUCCAAGAGUCUGUAAGCAUUUGGGGUAUGUACAAACGAGACCGGACGUGGAGUGGUGUGUGUGCGUGCUCUUUUAUAGUGCGAGUGAUGAUUGGCUGAUGAGGUGCAGGUGUGCGUGAUCAGUAUUCUGGUGAAGGUGAGCGUUGUGAUUGGGUGAUGGUGGAGCCUGGCGUGUCUGUGACACAUGAAUGAUUUACACAAUUUUUUUCUGUUUGUGUUUCAUGCAAUGAAACUGAACGGUGACUGCAUUAUGCCUGAGAUCUGCUUUUGGGAUCCACAGACAGACUCAAACAGGGAUCUUGGCCUAGUUUGCUGAAACAAAAAUCCUCCUGUAGACCUGAAAAUCAUUGAAGUGCCUGGAUCAUCCACCAGAAAAGAGAAAAAAGAAGCCUAGCAGAAAACAAAGCUGCUGUAACUUUUUACUUUUCUGAUUAAUUACCUCAAAUGUAUCUUGUGAAGAUUUUAUUAUUGAUUGGAUUUUAUGUUGCCGUGAGUACAGGUGCAGUCACAUUUGUGGCAUUUCUGUUAAAUCACUCAGGCAAAAAGGUCCAUUGAUCAUUAUAAGCAAUAUAGUGACAUAUUAUAUGACGCAGCUCACAUAGGAGUCACUUUUAAUCAGCUUUCUGUUGGUCAAAUCUGGCGAAUUUCAGUAACCAACUUGGAUACUUAGUGAAAUUUUUGACCACAUAUGAAAUUAAAGGGUUACUUCAGGAUUUAACAUUAAGCUUUGUAUUAGUAGAAUACCACUAGUAUUUUCGAAUUACCGUGCUUUCCCCCUUCAUAUCAGCCCGAGAUG